rnacentral:rRNA from 1 species
GUACACGCUGUGACUAGCAUAUCAAUAAGCGGAGGAAAAGAAACUAACAAGGAUUCCCCUAGUAACGGCGAGUGAAGCGGGAAGAGCUCAAAUUUGAAAUCUUAAAGGGUUUCCCUUUACGAAUUGUAGUUUAAAGAAGUGUUUUCUGUUGAGGUUUUGGUAAAAGUUCUUUGGAAUAGGACAUCAUAGAGGGUGAGAAUCCCGUAUUUGACCUUUACUUUCAACUUUGUGAUACACUUUCAAAGAGUCGGAUUGUUUGGGAAUGCAGUCCAAAAUGGGUGGUAAAUUUCAUCUAAAGCUAAAUAUUGGCGAGAGACCGAUAGCGAACAAGUACCGUGAGGGAAAGAUGAAAAGAACUUUGAAAAGAGAGUUAAACAGUACGUGAAAUUGUCAAAAGGGAAGCGUUUGACACCAGUGUUGUUUUUCUGAAAAUCAAUUAAAGAACUGUUUAUGCUAAGUUGUUUAGACUUUAUCAGCUAUCUGUUUAGUUUUGAGCUUUUCUUUAAUGCACUUUUCAGUUAACAAGUCAACAUCAAUUUCUUUUGCUGUAAAAAAGCUUGAGGAAGGUGGCUUGAGAUUCGUCUUAAGUGUUUAUAGCCUCUUGCCUAUGCAGUCGGAGAGAUUGAGGUCUGCAGCGUAGAUCCUUCGGGGCUAAAUGCAUUUGUGCUAAGUUAUAGCAUUUUAUAGACAACUUGUCGACUAUGAUUUGUCUUGUAGCUUACUCGCUUAUGUUAUUUUACCUACGCUUAGGAUGUUGAAGAUGUAGCACAUCAU